rnacentral:rRNA from 1 species
UACGUAGGGGGCAAGCGUUAUCCGGAUUUACUGGGUGUAAAGGGAGCGUAGACGGCAUGGCAAGCCAGAUGUGAAAGCCCGUGGCUCAACCACGGAACUGCAUUUAAAACUGGAUUGCUAGAGUACAGGAGGGGUAAGCGGAAUUUCUAGUGUAGCGGUGGAAUGCUUAGAUAUUAGGAAGAACACCAGAGGCGAAGGCGGCUUACUGGACUGCAACUGACACUGAGGCUCGAAAGCGUGGGGAGCAAACAGG